AUGGAUGCCACCAAGCGGCAGCAGCAACAGCACGACGAGGAAGCACUCUCCAACUCUUCUCCUCCAGCUUCUUCUUCCUGGGCGUCAACCUCUUCCUCUUGCUUGCCUGGCUCAGGGGACACAGACAGGGCGCCGCUGCUGCCCUGCAAGAUGGCCGACGAUGAAAAGGUCGACAGGGUUGACGUUUCUGAUGAUACGGCCCACCAGAUUAGCGUUGAUCCUUGGUAUCAAGUUGGAUUUGUCCUGACAACAGGGGUCAAUAGUGCAUAUGUUCUUGGAUACUCUGGGUCGAUUAUGGUCCCUUUGGGCUGGAUUGGUGGAACAUGCGGCUUGAUCCUGGCUGCUGCAAUCUCGAUGUAUGCAAAUGCUCUGCUUGGUCGCCUUCAUGAAGUUGGCGGGAAACGCCAUAUUAGAUACAGAGAUCUUGCUGGACAUAUAUAUGGAAGAAAAAUGUAUGCGCUUACAUGGGCUCUGCAGUAUAUUAAUCUUUUCAUGAUCAACACUGGCUUUAUCAUCUUAGCUGGCCAAGCACUGAAGGCAAUAUACGUACUCUUUAGAGAUGACGGGCUUCUCAAACUUCCCUACUGCAUAGCAUUAUCUGGGUUUGUCUGUGCUCUUUUUGCAUUUGGAAUUCCUUACCUAUCUGCUCUCCGAAUUUGGUUGGGAUUCUCCACUGUUUUCAGUCUCAUCUAUAUCGUGAUAGCAUUUGUGCUGUCGCUUAGAGAUGGCAUAACAGCACCUGCAAAAGAUUACAGUAUUCCUGGAUCAGAGUCAACUAGAGUCUUCACUACGAUAGGUGCUGUAGCAAAUCUUGUAUUUGCGUACAACACUGGAAUGCUACCAGAAAUUCAAGCAACCAUAAGGCCUCCUGUGGUCAAGAACAUGGAGAAAGCUCUCUGGUUCCAAUUCACUGUUGGUUCGUUGCCUCUGUAUGCUGUGACCUUUAUGGGAUACUGGGCUUACGGAUCGUCAACCUCGAGUUAUCUACUGAAUAGCGUCCAUGGUCCAGCUUGGAUAAAAGUUGUGGCAAAUCUCUCUGCCUUUCUUCAGACUGUCAUAGCAUUACAUAUAUUUGCAAGCCCAAUGUAUGAGUACUUGGACACAAGAUUCGGCAGCGGACACGGUGGGCCUUUUGCAAUCCAUAAUGUUGUGUUCAGAGUUGGUGUGAGAGGAGGCUACCUGACUGUGAACACAUUGGUGGCUGCGAUGCUCCCGUUCCUUGGCGACUUCAUGAGCCUGACCGGCGCCCUGAGCACAUUCCCCCUCACGUUCGUUCUUGCGAACCACAUGUACCUGAUGGUGAAGGGGCCCAAACUUUCUGCCUUCCAGAAAGGUUGGCACUGGCUGAAUGUUGUUGGGUUCAGCUUGUUGUCGGUCACGGCUGCAGCCGCCGCGCUCAGGCUUAUCAUACUGGAUUCCAGUACCUACCACUUAUUUGCUGAUAUGUGA
rnacentral:rRNA from 1 species